UCAUUCUUGGCCGAGUGGUUAAGGCGACAGACUUGAAAUCUGUUGGGGAAACCUUCGUAGGUUCGAAUCCUGCAGUCUGCG
rnacentral:tRNA from 1 species